GGGGGAUUGGUCUAGUGGUAUGAUGCUUGCUUUGGGUGCAAGAUGUCCCGGGUUCAAUUCCCGGAUCCCCCC
rfam:Hanseniaspora valbyensis NRRL Y-1626 HANVAscaffold_26, whole genome shotgun sequence.